rnacentral:rRNA from 1 species
UACGAAGGGGGCGAGCGUUGUUCGGAGUUACUGGGCGUAAAGAGCGUGUAGGCGGCCCGGUAAGUCCGCUGUGAAAGUCGGGGGCUCAACCCUCGAAUGCCGGUGGAUAUUGUCGGGCUAGAGUGCGGAAGAGGCGAGUGGAAUUCCUGGUGUAGCGGUGAAAUGCGCAGAUAUCAGGAGGAACACCAAUUGCGAAGGCAGCUCGCUGGGACGUAACUGACGCUGAGACGCGAAAGCGUGGGGAGCAAACAGG